UCUCAAGACCGGAGCUAUCAACCACUCAUCCAUCUCUCC
rnacentral:tRNA from 1 species